rnacentral:rRNA from 1 species
AUUGAACGCUGGCGGCAGGCCUAACACAUGCAAGUCGAGCGAGCGGCGGACGGGUGAGUAAUGUAUGGGGACUGCCCGAAAGAGGGGGAUAACUACUGGAAACGGUGGCUAAUACCGCAUACAGUGCGAUAACGCAUAGGGGAUUAGCUAGUAGGUAAGGUAAUGGCUUACCUAGGCGAAGAUCCCUAGAUGGUCUGAGAGGAUGAUCAGCCACACUGGGACGGAGACACGGCCCAGACUCCUACGGAGGCAGCAGUGGGGAAUAUUGCACAAUGGGCGCAAGUCUGAUGCAGCAAUGCCGCGUGUAUGAAGAAGGCCUUAGGGUUGUAAAGCACUGUCAGUCGGGAGGCGUUACCGACAGAAGAAGCACCGGCUAACUCCGUGCCAGCAGCCGCGGUAAUAC